UGUAAGUACUUAAUAGACCCAACAAAGUCUUCAGCUGUAAGAAAGCCAUUGUUUUCUGAGGCUUGUAACACAUGUCCCACAGAGUCAUCAAGUAUUCUCUUGGUGGAAUUAAAUAAAUAAAUUCAUAAGUACACAAUUUUGACACGAAACUUUUCAAGAAACUUUAUAUUGAAAUAGAACCUUUCUUACCGGUAUGUUGAGUCUGAGGUACCAGACAGACAUGUUAGCAGGCUUGUGCUGUAUCUUAUAA